UUGAACUUAAUAUUUUAAUGUUGUUACUCCUUUUUUUAGCUUCAAGGGGAACAAUAAACUUGCAUAUUCUAGAUGUCUCAAGGUUUCUUACUUUGCAGUCUCAGCAGCAGACAGUUCCAGAUGAUAAUACUUCAACGUGGACCAAUGCAGCAGCUGAGAACAAACCUUCCUCCGUUAGUGAUCAACCUGGUGGUUGGAAUUCCUGGGGUAAAACACCUGCAUCUGAAGCUGGCACUGUUGGUGGGUGGGGAGAUGCAGCUGCUUCAAAAGCUGAGAACCAACCUUCCUCGGCUAGUGAUCAACCUGGUGGUUGGAAUCCCUGGGGUAAAACACCUGCUUCUGAAGCUGGCACUGUUGGUGGUUGGGGAGAUGCAGGUGCUUCAAAAGUUGAAGCUUCUCCGUGGGAAAAACAAGGAGCUUCUACUUCCAAUG
rnacentral:lncRNA from 1 species